UCGAGAGUUUGAUCCUGGCUCAGGAUGAACGCUAGCGGCAGGCUUAACACACGCAAGUCGAGGGGUAUAGUAGCAAUACUAGAGACCGGCGCACGGGUGCGUAACGCGUAUGCAAUCUACCUUUUACAGAGGGAUAGCCCAGAGAAAUUUGGAUUAAUACCUCAUAGUAUGUGAGAAUCGCAUGGUUUUCACAUUAAAGUUCCAACGGUAAAAGAUGAGCAUGCGUCCCAUUAGCUAGAUGGUAAGGUAACGGCUUACCAUGGCGACGAUGGGUAGGGGUCCUGAGAGGGAGAUCCCCCGACACUGGUACUGAGACACGGACCAGACUCCGUACGGGAGGCAGCAGUGAGGAAUAUUGGACAAUGGGGCGCAAGCCUGAUCCCAGCCCAUGCCGCGUGCAGGAUGACGGUCCUAUGGAUUGUAAACUGC
rnacentral:rRNA from 1 species